UGAUAUGCUUGUCUUAAAGAUUAAGCCAUGCAUGUAUCAGUACAAGCCACACUAAGGUGAAACCGCGAAUGGCUCAUUAAAUCAGUUAUUAUUUACUGGCCGAGACAGUGAUACAUGGAUAACUGUGGUAAUUCUAGAGCUAAUACAUGCAACCGAGCCCCAGUGCCGGCUCUCGGGUCGGCCGGGGCGCUUUUAUUGGCUGAAAACCGAUGAUCGCCCUCGUGGCGGUCUUGCUCCGAUGAAUCACAAUAACAUUGUGUGGAUCGUACGGUCUUGUACCGACGACGCGCCUUUCAAAUAUCUGCCUUAUCAGCUCUCGACGGUUUGCUAGUGGCUGACCGUGGCCGUGACGGGUAACGGGGAAUCUGGGUUCGAUUCCGGAGAGGGAGCCUGAGAGAUGGCUACCACAUCUAAGGAAGGCAGCAGGCGCGUAACUUACCCACUCCCAGUUCAGGGAGGUAGUGACAAUAAAUACCUUACAGAGGUCUCGUUAACCGAGAUCUCUCAAACGGAAUGAGUACAACGUGAAUCCUUUAACGAGGAUCGACUGGAGGGCAAGCCUGGUGCCAGCAGCCGCGGUAAUUCCAGCUCCAGUAGCGUAUAUUAAAGUUGUUGCGAAAGCUGAAACUUAAAGGAAUUGACGGAAGGGCACCACCAGGAGUGGAGCUUGCGGCUUAAUUUGACUCAACACGGGACAACUCACCAGGCCCGGACACCGUAAGGAUUGACAGACUGAUAGCUCUCUCUUGAUUCAGUGGGUGGUGGUGCAUGGCCGUUCUUAGUUGGUGGAGUGAUUUGUCUGGUUUAUUCCGAUAACGAACGAGACUCUGGCCUAUUAAACUUGACACUGUCAGUCUCUUGUGACUGCGGUGCGCUUCUUAGAGGGAUCAUCGGCGUCCCAGCCGAAGGAAAGGGAGCAAUAACAGGUCUGUGAUGCCCUUAGAUGUUCUGGGCUGCACGCGUGUUACACUGAAGUGGUCAGCGCGCCGUUCAACACCCCUCUCCGUGAGGAGCUUGGGCAAACGUUUGAACCCUUUUCGUGAUGGGAAUUGGGGGUUGCAAUUGUCCCCCAUGAACGAGGAAUUCCAAGUAAGCGCAGGUCACUAGCCUGCGUUGAUUAAGUCCCUGCCCUUUGUACACACCGCCCGUCGCUACUACCGAUGGAUGAUUUGGUGAGGUCGCCUAGACUGGCUGCUGGCUUCGGCCGUGCGGCCGGGAAGACGCCCAAACUUGGUCGUCUAGAGGAAGUAAAAGUCGUAACAAGGUUUCC
rnacentral:rRNA from 1 species